AGCAGUAGCCGCGGGAAUACGUAGGGCGCAAGCGUUAUCCGGAAUUAUUGGGCGUAAAGAGCUCGUAGGCGGUUUGUCGCGUCCGCCGUGAAAGUCCGGGGCUCAACCCCGGAUCUGCGGUGGGUACGGGCAGACUAGAGUGAUGUAGGGGAGACUGGAAUUCCUGGUGUAGCGGUGAAAUGCGCAGAUAUCAGGAGGAACACCGAUGGCGAAGGCAGGUCUCUGGGCAUUAACUGACGCUGAGGGGCGAAAGCAUGGGGAGCGAACAGGAUUAGAUACCCCCGUAGUCCCUGUCUCUUAUAC
rnacentral:rRNA from 1 species